UGCUGGAGGUAUCAGAAGUGCGAAUGCUGACAUAAGUAACGAUAAAGCGGGUGAAAAGCCCGCUCGCCGGAAGACCAAGGGUUCCUGUCCAACGUUAAUCGGGGCAGGGUGAGUCGACCCCUAAGGCGAGGCCGAAAGGCGUAGUCGAUGGGAAACAGGUUAAUAUUCCUGUACUCGGUGUUACUGCGAAGGGGGGACGGAGAAGGCUAUGUUGGCCGGGCGACGGUUGUCCCGGUUUAAGCAUGUAGGCGGAGGUUCCAGGUAAAUCCGGUACCUUUUUAACGCUGAGGUGUGAUGACGAGGCACUACGGUGCUGAAGCAACAAAUGCCCUGCUUCCAGGAAAAGCCUCUAAGCAUCAGGUAACAUCAAAUCGUACCCCAAACCGACACAGGUGGUCAGGUAGAGAAUACCAAGGCGCUUGAGAGAACUCGGGUGAAGGAACUAGGCAAAAUGGUGCCGUAACUUCGGGAGAAGGCACGCUGAUAUGUAGGUGAAGCCCCUGCGGGUGGAGCUGAAAUCAGUCGAAGAUACCAGCUGGCUGCAACUGUUUAUUAAAAACACAGCACUGUGCAAACACGAAAGUGGACGUAUACGGUGUGACGCCUGCCCGGUGCCGGAAGGUUAAUUGAUGGGGUUAUCCGUAAGGAGAAGCUCUUGAUCGAAGCCCCGGUAAACGGCGGCCGUAACUAUAACGGUCCUAAGGUAGCGAAAUUCCUUGUCGGGUAAGUUCCGACCUGCACGAAUGGCGUAAUGAUGGCCAGGCUGUCUCCACCCGAGACUCAGUGAAAUUGAAAUCGCUGUGAAGAUGCAGUGUACCCGCGGCAAGACGGAAAGACCCCGUGAACCUUUACUAUAGCUUGACACUGAACACUGGUCCUUGAUGUGUAGGAUAGGUGGGAGGCUUUGAAGCGUGGACGCCAGUCUGCGUGGAGCCAUCCUUGAAAUACCACCCUUUAAUGGCUGGUGUUCUAACGUGGACCCGU
rnacentral:rRNA from 1 species